UUUUUUCAGCCUUGAGAAGUAUAAAAUUGCAACAUGGUUUACUUUGUGGCUAUACAGCACAUAAAUCCGUUCUUUUUUCACAUAUCAUGCUUUCUCUAAGGCUUCAUUUCUAAGUGAUUACACACACAUGGAUAUAAACAUACAAAUAAAUAGUGAAGUCAAUUUCUGCCAGUAAUGGCUCCAAAAUCCUCCCAAACUGAAACCUUUGGCUUUUGAACCAACAGCACUGUUAGGCACCUACAGGCAUGCUGCCAGGGAUUUAAGUCCCCAUAUGAUGUUCAAAUUACCUAACACUAGAGGAGGAAAAGAGGCUUGUUUUACUUCAACCUCAGCAGUUUUCCUCACAGCACCUUUCCUAAACUCACUUUCCAUUAAGAGAAACUGGAUAGCACACAGUUGGUCUUUUUUUGUACCUCCUUCUGUCUUUCUUUUCUUUUACAGGUGCACUGUUGCACUCCUCAUAUGGGCUAUGAAUGGAUAACCUACCUUAAUUUCUUCUCAUGGUGAUUGCAAGGUUUUUUCCAUUUAAGCUGCCACAUUUGUUGACAUUCAUCAAGUGUAUUUUAAUUUCAUAGUUUGAUCAAUGUCCUGUUUGUUAAUGUGAUUGAGGCUGAGUUUAUGACCUAUACUGCAGCAAGCCAGCAGGGGGAGCUCUGAAUCUUCGGGCUUCAGUGAGCACAUACUGCCUCCUUUUUAAUAUACACCCUGAAGUGAACUAUUUACUUGAGAUUUUGGGUCAGACUUACCAAUUUUGGAGGGUGGGUCAACAAAAGAAAAAGAUACUGUUCUGUUUAUCAGUACAUUGGCAAGAAAAUUCCCACUCGUGUGUUUUCAUAUAUAAAUAUCAUAUUGUAUCCUUAAGGGCCCCUGCCAAUCAUCCCAACUUUUCUUACUAUAUACAUUUUUUGGUAGCUUGAAGUCCUUUGCUGCCCUCGCUAUUGUUAAGACAGCUGAAUGAAAAUUAUGCCUGGAAAAAAUUGACCCACCCACAGUACAAAAAUAAGACUAAAUGCUUGUGAAAGUGUGCAGACCUGGGCAACACAGGUGCCCUUACCAAAGCUUAGCACAUAAACACACACACACACAAAAAAAAACACUUGACAUUUCAAAGAUUUUGUAUUCUGAUCAUUGCAAAAUUUAUGACAGAGAAUGUACAAACUUUGGUUCUCACAGAAUACAACAAUGCAAGACAUAAAAAUAGGCCAUAAUAGUCUAUAAAAUAUAUUUUUCCUUAUAUUGUUUCAUAUUUCAUUAGUAUUAAGUAUUAAAACAUCCUUAAAAAUACUUAAAGCAAUGGCCCAAGGUUUGGGGAAUAUAUUUCCUGGUAAGGUAGAUAUGUUCCUUCAUGUAAUUUAUCCUUCAUCUAAUACUUUGUUUAUUGAGCUCCCAUGUUGCUACGUGGCAGGUUACUUCAUGUUGGCAUCUUGAUGCAUCUGUACAAAUUAUGAAGCCCUUUUUUUAAUUGAUGAUGAAUGCCUUCACAGUAAGUUUUGCAUGUAGUCAACUGCAUGAAUCACUAGCAAUGUCUCAUUGUCUCAAACAUAUUUGACUUUAAAAAAGAGCUAAAACUGCUUUAAACUCAACACUUAUAAAUUCUAGUGAGUCAUGGUUUAAACAUCGUUUUUAUACAAAAAUAGAGAAGGUAAUAUUACUACAAGUUAUUUGGUUAAAUACAGUUCUCAGUGAAACCAUUAAAAGGGUAUUUUUAAACUUGUGCCCCCAGAGCUUUAAAGAAAGUAUAUCUAGAUUAAUUUGUAUACAAUUAACUUGGCUUAGUGUUUUAAGUAAGUCACACCAUUCUGUUUGGACCAGGAUCCCUGACACUCCAACAGACACAUGUUCAGUUUCUGCAGACAUACUCCGUCCAUUGUGAUAAGGACAAGUGGAAUUACAUACUUAGCUCAUCCAAAGUAUGUUGGAGAUCAUCAUGAAUGUUGGAUAAACCAAAAGCAGAGUCCUUCUCACACCAGCACUGACCAUCAUGCUCUGAUGGGCAUUAAAAAGUCAGCACUGAUGCUAGUGCUGGUUUGACAGAAGCCAUGACAGCAGUACCAUGCAGAACGCAGUGAUGAGACUGAUGCUGUGGCUUACUCCAUUUGCGGUUAUCAUUAUAGCUGUAAAUGAGUGGAAAGUACAAUGAAGCUUUAGUAAAAGAAUUAUGUAUACUUCAAAAUAUACUUCAAAACAUUUUCAACAAGCAGCACAUUAUAUUCCUUACUUAUGCCAUUCACAGUGAUAGAGUUUGUUUCUAUGUCAAAGCCAGAAACAGUGGAAGACGCAUUGAAAAACACUGCUCCAAUCUCGUUGCCACUUGGAACUGAUGUGCUAAUAAAGCCCAUCUGCAGCUGGUUGAUAAUUGAUCCUGAUCUGUGGGGACAAAAGGAAACAUAAUUGCUCCACAUACAAGAUCAGGCAACUUAUUGUAAUUUGUAAUAUGGUCUCUCCCAAAAAUUACCUGUAUGCUGUCACAUCAAUGGUUUUAAAUGAGUCGAAUGCCUUCUGAAACAAAGGUUUAAGCUGCCAAAACAGAAAAUAAAUUGUAUUAUACAUUUCUUCUGUCAUUUAAAAAUGCCUUUCCACGUGUAAGGUACUUUGACUAACUUGACCUUUUAUUUGUGGACAGUCUGAGGCAAGAUUAUCCCAUUUUCCUCAUAAUUUGCAUGAUUUACUGUGGACUAGUUCACCUUUUUAAGGACAGGGGAAACAAGCUAUACUUGGUUCCUCAAUAGCUUUUCAGAGUUUGGAAACAAAUUAUGUUUUGAGGUCUUUAUCUCUGAUCAAGCAAUUAUGACUAUGUAUCAGUCAUAUAACAUGCUAUAAGUGGUAGACUGAGAGUUAGACAAAAGUUUUGUUUCUAUGCCAAAAUCUGGAUGAUCAAAGUCCAAAUAGCACCCUUUUUCUUUAUAAACAGAUCCAUGGUAAGUCUUCUUGUCCCCCACUGUUUUGUAAAGAGAAGCAAGACCAAGCAAAUAAUCUUAAUCUUUCCUAAUUCACAAGACACAAUCACAAGUACAGUUAAGGUUUAGAGUAUGAGGUCUUAGUCCAACAAUUAAGUUCCUUGGGUACAAAGUUGAGCUUCUGUAUAAAGUAAAGGGUGUACCAGUUGUUUCUGUGGUGAUGUCUGAGACUUACCUGUGAUAUUAUUAAUUGUGAACGUUUUUGAGCAGCUGCAGAUGAUAGAUUCCCCAAAUCACUUGUGAAAUUCUGCUGAAGGGAUCUGAAACUUGCAUUAACGAGUUUAAUUCCAGUAGUUGUGGGCGCAGCAGUGGCAGGUGUGGCAGUUGUAUUUGCAUCUGGAACUGGACCCUCUAUUCAUAUAGUUUUUUUUUUUUAGAAAUAAAGUAAUGAUUGUUUUAUUUAAUCGACAAUAGUUCCAGAUUCACAGUCUUAAUGAGAAUGUGCAGGAUAUACAUCUUGUUUUGUUUACUCACCCUGGACUAUAAAAGAACUGGCAACAAAGCUACUGUUGGUAUUACUUGCAGCUUCUAUGAAGGUCUCAGCAACAAGGGAAUUUGUUGGAAGAUCUGAGGCUGUGGUGUUUUGAUUGAAGAUGACAGCCAUUUCUGUACCAACACCAUCAUUUCGUGUUGUCACAGGUCUGUAUAAUGAAACCAAUGGAACAUCAGGCAGUUGUGUUGUUAAGAGUGACACUAACAAUGUAUAUAAGAAAGUCAUUAUCAUAUUUAUAAGGCAAGGUCAGUUAAUAGAGUUAAAAAGAUUUAUUUACCUAAACCUUAUCAAUAGACACCUCAAAAAUAGAUUCCCAAAGGUCUUUCUGUAAACUCUAUCACACUGUAAAAAAAUAAGAAAAACACCCAAGGAAAAGUGACAUUAGGAUUAAAUCCAUUGUUUGAAUCAAUCUCUCUUAAAAAUUUGUGCAUAAAACUGAUGUUAAAUAAAACUUUGGAAAUACUUACUUCAUCCUCAGAUUCUCUUUUAAGGUCUUUAAAUUUAAGGCUUUCUGGAUUUUCCAGAUCAGCUGUAAAGAUUACACCUCUUAAUAUAGCAAAAAGUUUAUACUGUGGAGCAGCUGUAGCUGUUGAAGCAACUUUAGUUGUUUUAAUAGUUGUGGCUGGUGCAGCUGUUGAAGCAGCUUUAGUUGAUUUAGCAGCUGUAGCUGUUGAAGCAGCUGUAGUUGUUUUAAUAGUUGUGGCUGGUGCAGCUGUUGAAGCAGCUUUAGUUGAUUUAGGAGCUGUAGCUGUUGAAGCAGCUUUAGUUGUUUUAAUAGUUGUGGCUGGUGCAGCUGUUGAAGCAGCUUUAGUUGAUUUAGCAGCUGUAGCUGUUGAAGCAGCUGUAGUUGUUUUAAUAGUUGUGGCUGGUGCAGCUGUUGAAGCAGCUUUAGUUGAUUUAGCAGCUGUAGCUGUUGAAGAAGCUGUAGUUGAUUUAGUAACUGUGGUCGUAAUGGUGGUUGUAGGGGUGGUUGUUGUGGUUGUUGGAGUGGAUGUAAUAAUUGUUGUUGCUGGUGUUGUUACUGUUGUGGUUCUUCGAGCAGCUGUUGUUUUUGUUGUUGUUGGGACAGCUAUCGUUGUUGUUGUUGGGGCAGCUGUUGUUGUUGCUUGAGAGGUUGUUGUGGUUGUUGGAUUAGUUGUGGUGGUUGUUGUAGCGGUUGUUGUUGUGGGUGUUGGAGCAGCUGUUGUGGUUAUUGGCUUAGUUGUUGUGGGUGUUGUAGCAGCUGUUGUUGUGGUUGUUGAAACAGUUGUGGUGGUUGUUGUAGGGGUGGUUGUUGUGGGUGUGGUUGUGGUUGUUGGAGCAGCUGUUUUUGUUGUUGUUGGGGCAGCUGUUGUCGUUGCUUGAGAGGUUGUUGUGGUUGUUGGAUUAGUUGUUGUGGUUGUUGUUGUAGGGAUGGUUGUUGAUGUUGGAGUAGCUGUUGUGGUUUCUGAAGUGGUUGUAAUGGUUGUUGUAGGCGUGGUUCUUGUUGUUGGAGUAGCUGUUGUGGUUUUUGAAGUGGUUGUAAUGGUUGUUGUAGGGGUUGUUGCUGGAGUGGAUGUAAUAAUUGUUGUUGUUGAUGUUGUUACUGUUGUGGUUGUUGAAGCAGCUGCUGUUGUUGUUGGGGGAGCUGUUGUUUUUGUUGUUGUUGGGGCAGCUGUUGUUGUUGUUGUUGUUGUUGGGGCAGGUGUUGUUGUUGUUGUUGUUGUUGUUGGGGCAGUUGUUGUUGUUGUGGUGUUGUUGUUGUUGGGGCAGGUGUUGUUGUUGGGGCAGGUGUUGUUGUUGUUGUUGGGGAAGGUGUUGUUGUUGUUGUUGUUGUUGGGGCAGGUGUUGUUGUUGUUGUUGGGGCAGGUGUUGUUGUUGUUGUUGGGGAAGGUGUUGUUGUUGUUGUUGUUGGGGCAGGUGUUGUUGUUGUUGUUGGGGCA